GAUACAACAACCAUGCAAACCACUCUCACUCACCUCCUAAUGCUCUCUCUCUCUCUCUCUCUCUCUCUCUCUCUCUCUCUCUCUCUCUCUCUCUCCCGUGCAAUUUUGGAGAAGACUUGGUGUCGUGCAUUCGUGAAGCCAUCUUCGUCAAACACCAACACUGAGCAACGUCGAUACCUCCGCCACCAUGACGUGCACCUCCACCAUCAAAGGUCGUUGCAAGUUGACUCUCCCCUCACUACCCAAGAAAUUUACAAGUACCCUUAGAGAUCUCAGUGGUUAACAUUAUCGCCGGACUUCCUAUUAAACAUGGGCCGUGAUACAUCACUAAUAAUUGAGGGUUUUGUGUGUUGCUGUCAUGACUCAUCCUUGUCCUACCGUGAAAUUCCCUCACCGACAUUAUCGCUAACUCCCCAAAAUAGUUUGGUUCCGCUUUUUAAUUUUACGGGCCACGCACACGAGCUUAGGGGUGAAUUAUUAUAAAGCUGUACGAGUUGAUAGGUAAUUGUUGGGUGGAGAUUUCUUGGCCGUGCAGGGGUUUAAAUGUUGAUAGUCUGAGGCGGUGGCUUUUCAGGUGUAUUUUAUGUUGGACAUUGGAUUAAAAAGGGGCUGGUUUAGGGUUUAAUUAAAUAGGCUAGUGGCAUAUUUGUUUGGAUUACUAAUGGAUUGGAAAAUUUUUAUUGCUUAGGUUGUGGUACUGUUAGAGGUUGGACUCAUGACUAAGAUAACAUGUUGUAAGAGUAACGGGAUUCCAAUA